rnacentral:lncRNA from 1 species
ACUCUGUUUCUGAAGGGAAAACACUUUUAUUUAGGAAAUCAUAGUAUUGAAAUUAUAUGUUUUUCUCUUUCUAAGGACGCCGUUCCUGUCCCUGUCGGCUCCAGUAAGGACGCCGUUCCUGUUCCUGUCGGCCAUGUUGCGGCCGUUCCUGUUCUUGUCGGCCAUGUUGAGGCCGUUCCUGUUCUUGUCGGCCAUGUUGAGGCCGUUCCUGUUCUUGUCGGCCCUGUUGAGGCCGUUCCUGUCGGCCAUGUUGAGGCCGUUCCUGUCGGCCAUGUUGCGGCCGUUCCAGUCCCUGGUCCUGUUCCUGUCGGCCAUGUUGCGGCCGUUCCUGUCCCUGUUCCUCUUCCUGUCGGCCAAGUAGAGGCCGUUCCAGUUCCUGUUCCCGUCGGCCAAGUAGAGGCCGUUCCAGUUCCCGUCGGCCAAGUAGAGGCCGUUCCAGUUCCCGUUCUUGUCGACCAAGUAGCGGUCGUUCCAGUUCCCGUUCCUGUCGGCCCUGUAGCGGUCGUUCCCGUUCCUGUCGGCCCGGUAGCGGUCGUUCCAGUUCCCGUUCCUGUCGGCCCUGUAGCAGUCGUUCCAGUUCCCGUUCCUGUCGGCCCUGUAGCGGACGUUCCCGCUCCCGUUCCUGUCGGCCCUGUAGCGGCCGCUCCCGUUCCUGUCGGCCCUGUAGCGGUCGUUCCCGUUCCUGUCGGCCCUGUAGCGGUCGUUCCCGUUCCUGUCGGCCCGGUAGCGGUCGUGCCCGUUCCUGUCGGCCCUGUAGCGGCCGUUCCCGCUCCCGUUCCUGUCGGCUCCCGCAAAGAUGCCGUUUGUGUCCCUGUCGCCCUCGGAGCCGCAGCUCCCGCCGGCCUCCAGGAGGAGGCGGCACCGGCUGCAGUUCCUGCUGCAGCUCCCGCGGACCUCCAGGAGGAGGUCGCGCCUGCUGCAGUUCCUGCUGCAGCUCCCGCCGACAUCCAGGAGAAGGUCGCACCUGUCGUGGUUCCCGCCGACAUCCAAGAGAAGGUCGCUCCUGCAUCGGUUCCUGGCGGCUCGGCUCCGGCCGCACCUGCAUCGGUUCCUGGCGGCCCGGCUCCGGCUGCACCUGCAUCGGUUCCUGGCGGCCCGGCUCCGGCUGACCUGCAUCGGUUCCUGGCGGCCCGGCUCCGGCUGACCUGCAUCGGUUCCUGGCGGCCCGGCCCCGGCCGCGUCUCCACAUCUGUCUUCGUCUCUGGUUCCUGCCUUGUCUCUGUCUCGGCUGCUGGACUGGUGGCCUCGCCCGCGGCGCAUCCGGCUGUGAGGAUGGCGCUGCCUCCUGCGGUGACGUCCACCUCGACUCCUCAGCCCCUCGGGUCAGCGUCCGCCUGGAGGACAUCGCCAUUCGGGGUGGUCCCUGGGGACGUUGGCCCAGCUCAAGGGCACUAA